rnacentral:lncRNA from 1 species
GCUUAAUUCUCAAUUAAGUUUUGGGCUGAUAUGGAUUCGGAUUCGAUAUUUAAAAAUAGUUUUCAAUUUUAUAAAAUAUUUUUUACAAUCAAUCAUCUAAUGAUUAAAACUCUAAUUUCAGAUCUAAUAUAUAUUAUUUUAGAGCUAAAUUAAAAUUUUAAAUUUUUUUAUUAUUCAUUAUUAUGAAAAAAAUCGCGCAGCACCCC